ACUAUUUUGUCAUGCGAUAUGAACUACUAAGUUGAAGAUCAAGGUGGAAUUCGCUGAUAUUAUUCUGGUGAUAUAUUAUAUUCGGAAGGAUAUCCUUAUUUAAACCAGAGGUACUAUGGAAAAUUUGUUAGUGUUUUAUGGGCACAUCGUACGUGAGGGUCCUUCUGGUGUGGAUGUGUCU